CCGAGCACCAUCCCUUGGUUCCACCCCCUACCUACCUCCAAGCACUUUCCCUUGUUUUCACCCUCUACCCACCUACAAGCACUGUCCUUAUUGAUCCCGCUGGGUAGAUCCCUUAUAUUUCCACUUCUUGUUCCAGGCCAAGCUGACCAGCACAGGUUACAGUUACAGUCAUUUUUUUUCUCAAAAAAUAGGUGCAGGUGCUCCUCCCUUCUGAGUCACCCCCUCUUCUCCGCCCCUCCGAGUUCCGUCCCGCCCCCUUCACACCUCUGAGCACCAUCCCUAUUGAUCCUGCUGAGCAGAUCCAUCAUAUUUCCAGUUCCAGGCCAAGCUGGCCAGCAAAGGUUACAGUAACUCCUCCCUUCUGAGUCACCCCCUCCUUUCCACCCCCUACCCACCUCCGAGCACCGUCCCUUGGUUCCACCCUUUACCCAUCCCCAAGCAUCAUCACUAUUGAUCCCGCUGGGUAAAUCCAUUAUAUUUCCACUCCCUGUAUCAGGCCAAGCUAGCCAGCAAAAGUUACAGUUACAAUCAGGGCUUUUUUACUCAAAGAAUAGGUGCAGGUACCCCUCCCUUCUGAGUCACCCCCUCUUCUACGCCCCCUACCAAUCUCCGAGAUUUUGCCUAAAUUUUGAUUUAUAAUGAAAAGAAUUGCACAUGCCACAGCUCAAGGAACCCCUAGCUGUCCCUGGAGGAACCCUGGCUUAGGAUAAUUGGUAUGGACAAACAUGGGAGCCAUUUGAGCUGCACCACCCUCCCCCCGUUUCGUCCUCUCCGUCCCCUGCUGUAGUGAAAUUUAUCAGAAAAAUGCAGUUGGAAUCCUUUCACUGUUUGUUACAAAUUCUUCUUUUUCCUUCCUGAAAUACUUGAAUCGGGACAUUGGAACGAUGUCUUACCAGAACACUGCGGGGGAAGCUACGCGCGUCAUACCUAGAUCGAUCGUAGCUUCCAUAGAGCAGGUCACGAGAUGCCUUCACAUCCAUCUUAUAAAUAUAUAAAUAUAUUAUAUAUACAUAUAUAUAGAGAGAGAGAUAUUUCUUUUCUUUUAACAUAAAGAGGCCUUUUAUAACACAAAGUGUACCUGUUGGUCACACACAGAAAGUAGCGGGCGAAUGCUAAUCGCUCGACAGCAAAGCAGCCACCUCGCUGCGCCGUGUGCGGUCACCUGAUCCAAACCUGGCGUGGUGUGCGUCUGACGGGUACAACGCUAUUUUAAUUAGCACCCCCCCCUCCUCCGAUCCAUACUACCCAAUAGGGAGAGCGAAUACGUUAUUUUAUUUAUUUGUUGGACUUGUGGGCGGGAUACCAUGUAACAAAUCAGGGAGGGGGGGGGCGGAGUGUAAUGAAUUUUAUUUUAUACUUACGGUAAAGACAAAGGGUUUUUUACGUUUUUAUGUUUUUUUUUUCUUCUUUGCUCCUAUUGGAUCUAGUUUAAUAUUUGGGGGUAACUAAGAGAUAACAUGUACUGUAAUGUCUUUAAAAACUCUGGCCGUUCCCCCCCCGACCGGCGGAAGGUCGAAGGGCGCGGCCUGGUCGCUAUCUUUUAGCCAUUUUUUUUUUUUUAACUCUUGUUGCCGUGCUGUCUACAUGUUGUGAACAGCGGAUGACAAUCAUUGUAAAUAAGUAUCUUGUUUCUGGCUGUAGCCUUUUUUUUUAUUGUAUCGAAGUCUUCCUACAAAAAUGUACUGCACAAAAAUCCUGGAUUGUACAGAUUUUUUUAUUAAUAUUAUGUCUUAUUUUAUUAUUUCUAAAAUAAAAUAAAAAUUUCAAUUUCAC